GCCUGUGUAGCUCAGUGGUAGAGCUCCUGACUAGAGGUACAGGGGUCCUGGGUUUGAUUCCCAGUCCAGCCA
rfam:Crassostrea gigas strain 05x7-T-G4-1.051#20 contig20378, whole genome shotgun sequence.